AGUGGCGGACGGGUGCGUAACGCGUAGGAAUCUGCCUAUUAGUGGGGGACAACUUAGGGAAACUUAAGCUAAUACCGCAUACGCCCUACGGGGGAAAGGAGGGGACCUUCGGGCCUUUCGCUAAUAGAUGAGCCUGCGUUGGAUUAGCUAGUUGGUGGGGUAAAGGCCUACCAAGGCGACGAUCCAUAGCUGGUCUGAGAGGACGAUCAGCCACACUGGGACUGAGACACGGCCCAGACUCCUACGGGAGGCAGCAGUGGGGAAUAUUGGACAAUGGGCGAAAGCCUGAUCCAGCAAUACCGCGUGUGUGAAGAAGGCCUUAGGGUUGUAAAGCACUUUCAAUUGGAAGGAAAAACUCAUGGCCAAUACCCAUGAGCUUGACAUUACCUUUAGAAGGAGCACCGGCUAAC
rnacentral:rRNA from 1 species